rnacentral:rRNA from 1 species
UACGAAGGGGGCUAGCGUUGCUCGGAAUCACUGGGCGUAAAGCGCACGUAGGCGGAUUUUUAAGUCAGGGGUGAAAUCCUGGAGCUCAACUCCAGAACUGCCUUUGAUACUGGGAAUCUCGAGUCCGGGAGAGGUGAGUGGAACUCCGAGUGUAGAGGUGAAAUUCGUAGAUAUUCGGAAGAACACCAGUGGCGAAGGCGGCUCACUGGCCCGGUACUGACGCUGAGGAGCGAAAGCGUGGGGAGCGAACAGG